GGGUUGUGAGGUUAAGCGACUAAGCGUACACGGUGGAUGCCCUGGCAGUCAGAGGCGAUGAAGGACGUGCUAAUCUGCGAUAAGCGUCGGUAAGGUGAUAUGAACCGUUAUAACCGGCGAUUUCCGAAUGGGGAAACCCAGUGUGUUUCGACACACUAUCAUUAACUGAAUCCAUAGGUUAAUGAGGCGAACCGGGGGAACUGAAACAUCUAAGUACCCCGAGGAAAAGAAAUCAACCGAGAUUCCCCCAGUAGCGGCGAGCGAACGGGGAGGAGCCCAGAGCCUGAAUCAGUGUGUGUGUUAGUGGAAGCGUCUGGAAAGGCGCGCGAUACAGGGUGACAGCCCCGUACACAAAAAUGCACAUGCUGUGAGCUCGAUGAGUAGGGCGGGACACGUGGUAUCCUGUCUGAAUAUGGGGGGACCAUCCUCCAAGGCUAAAUACUCCUGACUGACCGAUAGUGAACCAGUACCGUGAGGGAAAGGCGAAAAGAACCCCGGCGAGGGGAGUGAAAAAGAACCUGAAACCGUGUACGUACAAGCAGUGGGAGCACGCUUAGGCGUGUGACUGCGUACCUUUUGUAUAAUGGGUCAGCGACUUAUAUUCUGUAGCAAGGUUAACCGAAUAGGGGAGCCGAAGGGAAACCGAGUCUUAACUGGGCGUUAAGUUGCAGGGUAUAGACCCGAAACCCGGUGAUCUAGCCAUGGGCAGGUUGAAGGUUGGGUAACACUAACUGGAGGACCGAACCGACUAAUGUUGAAAAAUUAGCGGAUGACUUGUGGCUGGGGGUGAAAGGCCAAUCAAACCGGGAGAUAGCUGGUUCUCCCCGAAAGCUAUUUAGGUAGCGCCUCGUGAAUUCAUCUCCGGGGGUAGAGCACUGUUUCGGCAAGGGGGUCAUCCCGACUUACCAACCCGAUGCAAACUGCGAAUACCGGAGAAUGUUAUCACGGGAGACACACGGCGGGUGCUAACGUCCGUCGUGAAGAGGGAAACAACCCAGACCGCCAGCUAAGGUCCCAAAGUCAUGGUUAAGUGGGAAACGAUGUGGGAAGGCCCAGACAGCCAGGAUGUUGGCUUAGAAGCAGCCAUCAUUUAAAGAAAGCGUAAUAGCUCACUGGUCGAGUCGGCCUGCGCGGAAGAUGUAACGGGGCUAAACCAUGCACCGAAGCUGCGGCAGCGACGCUUAUGCGUUGUUGGGUAGGGGAGCGUUCUGUAAGCCUGUGAAGGUGUGCUGUGAGGCAUGCUGGAGGUAUCAGAAGUGCGAAUGCUGACAUAAGUAACGAUAAAGCGGGUGAAAAGCCCGCUCGCCGGAAGACCAAGGGUUCCUGUCCAACGUUAAUCGGGGCAGGGUGAGUCGACCCCUAAGGCGAGGCCGAAAGGCGUAGUCGAUGGGAAACAGGUUAAUAUUCCUGUACUUGGUGUUACUGCGAAGGGGGGACGGAGAAGGCUAUGUUGGCCGGGCGACGGUUGUCCCGGUUUAAGCGUGUAGGCUGGUUUUCCAGGCAAAUCCGGAAAAUCAAGGCUGAGGCGUGAUGACGAGGCACUACGGUGCUGAAGCAACAAAUGCCCUGCUUCCAGGAAAAGCCUCUAAGCAUCAGGUAACAUCAAAUCGUACCCCAAACCGACACAGGUGGUCAGGUAGAGAAUACCAAGGCGCUUGAGAGAACUCGGGUGAAGGAACUAGGCAAAAUGGUGCCGUAACUUCGGGAGAAGGCACGCUGAUAUGUAGGUGAAGCGACUUGCUCGUGGAGCUGAAAUCAGUCGAAGAUACCAGCUGGCUGCAACUGUUUAUUAAAAACACAGCACUGUGCAAACACGAAAGUGGACGUAUACGGUGUGACGCCUGCCCGGUGCCGGAAGGUUAAUUGAUGGGGUUAGCGCAAGCGAAGCUCUUGAUCGAAGCCCCGGUAAACGGCGGCCGUAACUAUAACGGUCCUAAGGUAGCGAAAUUCCUUGUCGGGUAAGUUCCGACCUGCACGAAUGGCGUAAUGAUGGCCAGGCUGUCUCCACCCGAGACUCAGUGAAAUUGAACUCGCUGUGAAGAUGCAGUGUACCCGCGGCAAGACGGAAAGACCCCGUGAACCUUUACUAUAGCUUGACACUGAACAUUGAGCCUUGAUGUGUAGGAUAGGUGGGAGGCUUUGAAGUGUGGACGCCAGUCUGCAUGGAGCCGACCUUGAAAUACCACCCUUUAAUGUUUGAUGUUCUAACGUUGACCCGUAAUCCGGGUUGCGGACAGUGUCUGGUGGGUAGUUUGACUGGGGCGGUCUCCUCCUAAAGAGUAACGGAGGAGCACGAAGGUUGGCUAAUCCUGGUCGGACAUCAGGAGGUUAGUGCAAUGGCAUAAGCCAGCUUGACUGCGAGCGUGACGGCGCGAGCAGGUGCGAAAGCAGGUCAUAGUGAUCCGGUGGUUCUGAAUGGAAGGGCCAUCGCUCAACGGAUAAAAGGUACUCCGGGGAUAACAGGCUGAUACCGCCCAAGAGUUCAUAUCGACGGCGGUGUUUGGCACCUCGAUGUCGGCUCAUCACAUCCUGGGGCUGAAGUAGGUCCCAAGGGUAUGGCUGUUCGCCAUUUAAAGUGGUACGCGAGCUGGGUUUAGAACGUCGUGAGACAGUUCGGUCCCUAUCUGCCGUGGGCGCUGGAGAACUGAGGGGGGCUGCUCCUAGUACGAGAGGACCGGAGUGGACGCAUCACUGGUGUUCGGGUUGUCAUGCCAAUGGCACUGCCCGGUAGCUAAAUGCGGAAGAGAUAAGUGCUGAAAGCAUCUAAGCACGAAACUUGCCCCGAGAUGAGUUCUCCCUGACUCCUUGAGAGUCCUGAAGGAACGUUGAAGACGACGACGUUGAUAGGCCGGGUGUGUAAGCGCAGCGAUGCGUUGAGCUAACCGGUACUAAUGAACCGUGAGGCUUAACCUUACAACGCCGAAG
rnacentral:rRNA from 1 species